UGGGGAAUAUUGCACAAUGGAGGGAACUCUGAUGCAGCGACGCCGCGUGAGUGAUGAAGGAAUUCGUUUCGUAAAACUCUGUUCUAUGGGAAGAAAAGGACUGUACCAUAGGAGAAAGCUCCGGCUAAAUACGUGCCAGCAGCCGCGGUAAUACGUAUGGAGCGAGCGUUGUCCGGAAUUAUUGGGCGUAAAGGGUGCGCAGGCGGCUUUACAAGUUGGAUGUGAAAUAUUGUGGCUCAACCACAAACGUGCAUCCAAAACUGCAAAGCUUGAGUUAAGGAGAGGUAAGUGGAAUUCCUGGUGUAGCGGUGGAAUGCGUAGAUAUCAGGAGGAAUACCGGUGGCGAAGGCGACUUACUGGACUUAAACUGACGCUCAGGCACGAAAGCGUGGGAGCAAACAGG
rnacentral:rRNA from 1 species